ACAUUCUGUUAGGGAAAAAAAAUUUAAAUGUGUCUAAAAAUGGACCUAAGCUCAGAGACAUUUUAUUCAGAGUCAGACCAGCAGCACAAACAGUUAACAAUUAUACAUGACACUCACUGAAGUCCUUUCUCGUAAUGGGUUGGUGAGGGUGUUUGUGGUUUUCUGUUGUAAUAUAUUCAUUUAUUACUGUUUCUCGGGGCAUAGAAGUCAUCCCUCAGAUAUUUGGAUUUCUUCCUCAAAAAAAACAAAUUUUUUUCUAAUAGAUAUAAAGUCUACAUAUAAAUGUGAUCAGGGCAUUUUAUUAGUAGGACCCAAUUUUGUAAUUCUAAACUGUUAAUAUUAACUUUGAAAUACAAUCACGUUCUCCCUGAGCCCAUAACAACCUACAAGCAGUCCAACCAAUGCUGGGCUGAGCCAUCAUUUUGCCUGAGGGACUUUUGUAAAGCAGACAGCCCAGGCUGUUAAAGGUUCUUCCAUCCUGCUGGGCAGUGGUGGUGCAUGCCUUUAAUCCCAGCACUUGGGAGGCAGAGGCAGGUGAAUUUCUGAGUUUGAGGCCAGCCUGGCCUACAGAGUGAGUUCCAGGACAGCCAGGGCUACACAGAGAAACCCUGUCUCAGGAAAAAAAAAAAAAAAAAAAAAAAAAUCCUUCCAUCCUUUGAAAGGAAGAGGGCAAGGUUGCAGAUCCUCCCAGGAACCUGGAGUUAAUGAGCCCUGCCCCACUUACAGCUCGCAGGAGGAGGUCCCAGAGCCUUCUAACAAGUUCUUCAGCA
rnacentral:lncRNA from 1 species